UUUUCUUUUUUCUUUUCUUUUUUUUUUUUUUUUGAGAUGGAGUCUCACUCUUGUCACCAGGCUGGAGUGCAGUGGCACAAUCUUAGCUCGCUGUAACUUCCUCUUCCUGGGUUGAAAGGAUUCUCCUGCCUCAGCCUCCCGAGUGGCUGGGACUAUAGACACACACCACCAUGCCCAGCUGAUUUUUGUAUU